rfam:Gossypium raimondii Chr06_contig_387, whole genome shotgun sequence.
GGGUGUGAUCAUACCAGCUCUAAUGCACCGGAUCCCAUCAAAACGCCGCAGUUAAGCGCGCUUGGGCAAGAGUAAUACUAGGAUGGGCGACCUCUUGGGAAGUCCUCGUGUUGCACACC